UGUACACAAAUUGCCUGUUUAUAGGCCUCCUUUCAAAAUCAAUACAACCCUCUUUCAAAAAAAAGAUGCUUUUGUUUUUACUUUUCUGUUUUGGUUGCGUAAAUGUCCAUUGAUUUAAUUUGAAUUAAUAUGUGCAUUUGAAUAUGAUAAAUGUUUACCAAAAUAUAUGCGUAGAAUAGCAAUAGCAAUUACUACCCGACUUCAGGAUCGAGGAGAAGGUCUAACCAUGCUUCCAAUGAAUCCGCUACCAAUUCUAUUCCCCCAGCAAGUCUGUUAUUCCUCAGAAGAAAUUAGCAGUAUUCCCCGGCACAGCCAGUUACUCCCCAACAGAGGUCGGCAUCAUCAGACAGAUUGAUCAUCUCAUCCAUCC
rnacentral:lncRNA from 1 species